AGUUAAAAAGCUCGUAGUUGGAUUUCUGUGAGAGUAUGAUGUCCUAACGUGUGUAGAGCGCAGAAAACUCUUGCAUGCCUUCUGUUACCUCCACGUGGCAUUCGCUUGCCAGUGGUUGGCUCAGAGAAUUUACCUUGAGAAAAUUAGAGUGUUUCAGGCAGGCUUAGUCGGAAUACAUUAGCAUGGAAUAAUAGAAUAGGACUCCGGUCUCGUCGUUGGUUUGAGGGACUGUAGUAAUGAUUAAUAGGGAUAGUUGGGGGCAUUAGUAUUCGGUUGUCAGAGGUGAAAUUCUCAGAUUUAUUGAAGACUAACUUAUGCGAAAGCAUUUGCCAAGGAUGUUUUCAUUAAUCAAGAACGAAAGUUAGGGGAUCAAAGACGAUCAGAUACCGUCCUAGUCUUAACCAUAAACUAUGCCGACUCGGGAUUGGGGGCGUGUUAUUAUCCGCCUUCAGCACCGUAUGAGAAAAUCAAAGUCUUUGGGUUUCUGGGGGGAGAUA
rnacentral:rRNA from 1 species